UAUUUCUGUCUUUCCUGAACAGCACAUACCCUUCAAUACCUGUACCCCAGUCAUGACUACCAUUUCACCAUGUUUCUGUUAUCCCUAUAAUAUCUGGUUUCACUUGUUGCACCAGAAGUUCUAGUUCCUCCAUUUUGUUUCCCGGGAGCCCC